rnacentral:lncRNA from 1 species
UUAUUUUAGGAAACAUUGCAAAUCCAUCCUGGUGAAGAAAAUCAAUAUGCAUGAUAUUUCAAAUAGUUUUUUGGUCAAGCAGAGGGCUUUGGGGGUAAGGAAAAUAAGGAUGGAAUGUCUCAUUGGUGCACUGAGCAAGCCCUGUGCUGCCUACAGUCAAGGCCCCACCUGAUUCUUUCUCUCCUUUGUUGCUGGGCCAUCCUAUUUACCUGGAAAUGGAUCUUUUCCCGGGAUAUUCAAAAGCUCUCAAUUAACACAUAUUUAGUAUUGAUCACCUUGAAGAUGCCAUCUCUCCUUCCCUUUUUGUGUUGAGGACAGAGAAAAAGGAGAAGGAAAGAAGGAAGACGGAGAAGAAAAACAUGGGAGAGAAAGGAUGCAAAGGAACCAGGCAGGCAGGGUGGGGACAAUUAUCGGGGGCAGUUAGAUCCAACAGGGAAGAGAUACAGGCUGAGGGCCGGAAACUCUCAGGGUUCCUUCCUCAACAUAGUAUAGAAGGACAUUGAAAGAAAAUGUGUGAUGGGUGAAAAAUAGGCUAGAAUGGGAGAGAAGGAGAGGACAGUAAGAAAGUCAGAGACACACAGAUGGGCACAGCAG